rnacentral:rRNA from 1 species
AUUGAACGCUGGCGGCAGGCUUAACACAUGCAAGUCGAGCGGGGACUUCGGUCCUAGCGGCGAACGGGUGAGGAAUGCUUGGGAAUCUGCCCAGUAGCGGGGGAUAACGUUUCGAAAGGAACGCUACUACCGCAUACGCCCUACGGGGGAAAGGGGGGGAUCUUCGGACCUCUCACUAUUGGAUGAGCCCAAGUCGGAUUAGCUAGUUGGUGGGGUAAAGGCCUACCAAGGCGACGAUCCGUAGCUGGUCUGAGAGGAUGAUCAGCCACACUGGAACUGAGAAACGGUCCAGACUCCUACGGGAGGCAGCCGUGGGGAAUAUUGGACAAUGAGCGAAAGCCUGAUCCAGCCAUGCCGGGUGUGUGAAGAAGGCCUUCGGGUUGUAAAGCACUUUAAGCGAGGAGGAAUGGCUCUUGGUUAAUAACCUUGAGCAGUGACGUUACUCGCAGAAUAAGCACCGGCUAACUCUGUGCCAGCCGCCGCCGUAAAAC